CUUUCAUUGCAUCCUUUACUAAUCCUGUCUUAUCUACACAGAAGCAACAUUCUUCCUUCAGGGCAGCACAGAGACCAACUUGUUGAAGGAGAAGUGAUCUAUUCCCCUGCGGUUUUGAAGGACUACCUUACUUAGGGACCGUAGAAAGUCUGUAAGAAUAACAUUUUGGUGCCCGGACGUGGAAAGGCUCUGCCCUUAUACCUUCUGCGACCUGCUGGCGGGCACAUGUUAGGCUAAGUGUAACCUUACAAUCCACUUCCAUCUCCGCUUUACCUGGCACUCCCUCCUGCCUGCAACAGCCUGAGAUGCCGGAACUCAACUUGCGGCUUUUCCAACUAAGUAUUUCUGGAACUCACUGAUCUGCCUAUUCGCUACAAUCCGCUUUUUAUAACAGAGAGAUAGGCCAACUGCUUGCCCCAUCCCAUCUCCUCCGAGAAGAAUGAUGGGCACUGAAGAAACUUCAUCUCAGUGACAACGCUGGUCACUGAGCAACCCUGCCCUUCACCUCAACUGGUACAAAGUAUUCCAGACCAUGGACAAG
rnacentral:lncRNA from 1 species